ACUGGAAUACUUUUCUGGGACAAAGCAUGUGUUGACCUGGUAUUUUAGAACCUCCAGAAAGGGGGCAAAACCCUCACCCUGGAAUAAUACUGGUAAAUAAAAGUAAACAAACAAACAAACAAAAAAACGCCUCCAAGACUGGAGGAGUCAAUUCUUCAGGUCUUCCCUCUCUGCCGUGGGAGGCUUUGAAACUGGCUGCCGAUGUACCAGUACCAGGAAGUGAUGUGCAGAACGGGGAAGCUUGUCAUCAGCCCCUCCCUGCUUUCUGUGUUCUGCAUGCUGUGCUCUUGGCUUGCUCCUGUUCAGUGUGUGUGUGUGUGUGUGUGUGUGUGUGUGUGUGUGUGUGUGUGUGUGUGUUCUGUGUAUUGAUGGCAGCUUCCCCCAUGAAAUGUUCAAACUUCAUCUCUCCAUCUUUUUCUACAGACAAGUAGGGGACUUAGUUGGAUCCCUCGGGUGGCAGACGAUGAUAUCAGUGGUUAAAUGGCCCAGCCUCUCCCCUUUGCAGGACCCUUUCUUUCUUAGGCACUUAUGCUCAGAGCUUGGUCAGUGGGAUUGCUGUCCUCAAUAGCAAUGAGUAGCUCACGACCACUCCUUUCUUUCUGGCCCGUCUCUUUGCUAUCUCAUUUCUUUCCUAUUUUCAGUUCUAUAUUUAUACUUCCUGAAAUAACCAUAAAAUAACCUGAAAUAAACAAAUAGCCUGCCACCCAACAUUACCUCAGUUUCUACUUUCAGAAAGAAAAAAAAAAUCAAAACAAAUGGAGCCCAAGAAGGAAGCUGAGAAAGAGAGAUACAAACAUUUUUGUCCGAAUUUGGGAACCAAAUAAGAUGGCUUAUUCUUUGUAGCUAGUGCCUCUCCCACCUUCCUCCUAGAGUACCUAAAGUAGAUUAUAAUCUUCAAAAGGUAAAAAAAAAAAAAAAGCAGACAAUGUCACUUGGUUUCAUUGCUAGGUCCUAAGAUUUGGUUGCCAAGGCAGACUUGUAUAACAGGAUCUAUCUACACUACCAACCCCACACAAAAGCCUGGAGCCCUAAGACUCAGGGCCUUCCCUCAGCAGAGACGUUUCCCGCCUGUUGACAUACUUUUCUCUCGGAGAAAAAGAACUUCAGGACACGUCCCCGCUAUCUCUGUACUCUGUGAACACACAUCUUAUCUUAUCUUUGUAUCCUUUGCAACAACAAAAAUCCUAGUACGAAAUGCUACCGAAUCUUGUGAAUUCUUUUGCCAUGUAAAAUGCAAGCCAGUACCACAGGCAGAUGGUAGCAGAGAUGGAAUGCAAGUGCAGGCAGCCUGCCCUCUAGCUUGUUCCUUUAAACAUCUUGUUUGACUACCGCCUAGAACUGGUGUUACUAUUAUUACUUCUUUCGCUUCGUCUGCUCUCUAGGCCUUCUUUGAUGAAUACACAGUAUUUAUAAUCAAAGGGAGAAAAAGCUUGUAAUUUGUAAAUGUUCGCGGUUGAGAGAUAAGAAGAAUCACGAUGAAGAAACAGACACUAGGAAGAUAAAUUAGGGCAGUGAAAUAUGAAGGAGCGCCACGUUAAGCAAAACACAGCCUUCUGGAGGAAAUGUUCCCAGUCUGGAGACAGACAGGGAUUUAAGAGACACGUAAAACACAGAUCACAAAAGCAAAAGCCAAUAAAUUGGACCUCACCCGCGUUAAAAUGUUAUGCUUUGUUAAUAAAGUGCUAAGAAACUGAAGAAGGAACUCACACCUUGAGAGAAUGUCUGUACUAAAUAUGUCUACUGAAGGACUGAUACCCAAUAUACAUAAAGAAUUUGUGCAAUUCUAAACCAAGGAAAUCUGACAAAUAAGUAAAGAACACAUGUUUAUAUGUGUGUGUGUACAUUUAGGUGUGGAACUUCUUGACGAGCCGGUCAACUCAGAAUCUCACUUAGUUAUUAGAACAAACUUGGAGAAAAUGCAGUAGUAAAAUCUGAUCAGAGACAAAUGUGUGGUCAAGUUCUGUCAACGUUUGAUGCUCCCUGAAGUCUGUGUCAUUUUCUGCUAGCGAGAACUACUCCCGGGGGAGUGUUCUGAGAGGCUGAUGUUGAAGAGGAAGCUGAACGCCGCUGUAAUAUGGUAUCUGUGCUAUUUAUGUCUCUCAGUCUCUGUCGGCGGAUGCUCUGCAUCACAAACUCGGUGUCUUUUAUGUACACCACACAUUUCUAUUCUUCUCAAUGGUGGCUCUUACACUUUCUGAUCUCAGGACACCUUUAAGCUUGUUUUGUUUUUAAAUUUAUAAACUGUUGGGCUGUGUAGUCCUGUGUAGCCCAGGUUAGACUUGAGCUCACAAUUCACAAGAAUUGACCCUUGGCCUCAGCCUCCCAAGCUGCUGUCAUUAUAGGCAUGUAUUAUCAUUCUUGGUACCUUAAGGUUCUUGAGAAUUGUUGAGAAGCCCCCCAAAUCUGUGGUUUAUGUUUUAUGUUAAUAUGUACCAUAGUAGGAAUGAAAGAAACUUAAGCAAAUUUAUUAAUUUAUUGAAAAUAACAAGUGUUGAGAUUAUUAACAUAGUAACAAAUUACAUAUUAUACAUCCAUACAUCCAUAUACAAAAAUUUUAUUUUUAAAAACAACAAAAUAAGGAAGAUAGAGGAUUGAAAAUAAGGACAAAUAUUCUUUUUGUUUGUUUUGUUUUGUUUCGUUCUGAAACAGGGUUUCUCUGUGUAGCCCUGGUUUACUGGAACUCAGUCUGUAGACCAGACCGGCCUUGAACUCAGAGAUCAAGCAUCCACUACCUCCAGAGUGCUGGAAUUAAAUCUGUGCAACACUAUGGUAAGGAGGACAAAACACUCUUCACAUAAUUAUUAAAUAGUUCAUGUUAAAACCACAAUGAGAUAUGAAUGCACACCUACCAGAAUGCCUAACAUUAAAGACUAGCAAGAAAGAGCAACUGGAACUCUUAGAAAUAGUUUUUAUAAAAAGACAAUCAACUAAUUUCUUUCUUUUUUAAAUAUGAAACACUUCACGAAUUUACUUGUCAAAGGAGCCAUGCUAAUCUCUGUAUUAUUCCAGUUUUAGUAUACAUGCUGCCAAAGCAAGCACUGGGCAAUUUAUUGAACAUAUCUUACCAAAUAAUAAUUAUCCUCCUAGAUUCUUACCCAAGGAAAAUGAAAGGACGUGUCUUCCCAAACAUAUGUACAUUAAAGCUGAUAGUGGCUCUAUUCAUAAUACCUAGAAACACCACAAACAUCCACCAGCAGGUAGGUGGAUAAAGAGAUCAUGGCUCAUUAAUUCAGAGGAAUACUACUUACCAAUGAAAGGGAACAACCUUGAUGUGUACAACAAUGUGAAUGGGUUUCAAAAAUUGUGUGCAAAGAAUCCAGAUGUGAGGAGAAAGGAAACAGCUGAGAAUGAUUCAGAUGCAAUCAUUGGAAUCGCCUUUAGAGCUGGGACCCACUGGAGGUGACUGGGUCUUGAGGGCUCUGGCUUCCUGGACAGAUUGAUCUGUUUGUGGAUUUAUAGUUUAAUGGGUUAUUGAGAGGUAGUAGUAACUUCAGGAGCUAGGCUUCUGGGGGCGGGGGGGGGGGGAACAGGUCACAGUGGAUGUGCCCUGGGAGGGUUUUCUGCUUUUUUCCCUAGCCUCUUCCCCUCUCAGUCUUCCUGCCUCCUAGCCACCAGGAAAUCAGUAGCUUUGAUCUUCCAUGGUACUUUCUAGCCUUUAAACCUAAACCAGGAGCCAGGGACCACAGACUGAAACCAUGCAAAAUAAGUCUUCCUUCUUCAAACUGAUUUUUUUUAAGAUAUUUUUGAUACUGCAACAGAAACCUAACAUACCAUUUUAUUCUGCUCACUAAACAUAUUUAGUUGUCGCAAGGAGUGUAAAAAUUCCUCUUAGCUAUAUUUUUUUAAAAGCAAAUUUUAAUUUCCAUUCUUUUUAGUCUUAACAUUGUCCUGAUUGAUUCCCAGCAAAUGCCCCCCUUCCUACUAAAAUGAGAAGUCUUUUUAUCACAUUGGCCUGAGAUUUGUCAUCUGUCUCCUUCAUCACCUGUGGGCUCUCAGCUUUAUAGCAGAAGAGCAAUAACAAGUGAAUUUACUACCUCUUGUGAGAAUUUUCUCCCUGUUGGAGGUGAUUAAUGACCCUUCUAAAAUAGAAAAUUAAAUCAAGAUUUAGUUAUUUCAUCUGAAAAAGCUAAUUGAACCACAUAUUUAUGAAAUUAGAUGUGGAGAAGUGAACUGCCACCACCCACUCAACUACAACAAGAAUGUUUUUCCACUUCUGAGACAGCAUAAGAGAGGAGAAAUUAAUAUGCAUGUGGCACAUCUUCCAUCUCCCUUCUCCAGUCUGCUGGUGCCUGUUGAUGAGUCUGGAAUUUUUCUUUCUUUCUGAUAAUGGUAUAAACUGGCAAAUACCUAAGAGAACCAGAGGCCAAUGAGAGGUGAGGUAAUGUGGAUUACAUUUUAUAGGGUUUUUUUUUUAAUGUCAGUUUUUAGUUUAUUAACAUUUACAUGAAAAUAAAUUAAAAGACAAUUAUUUCUAAAGUAUAUGACAAAUCCAGGCAUUGUGGCACAUGCCUGUAGUCCUCAUGCUUGAUAAGCUAAUGCAGAAGAAUCUUGAGUUUGGGCUCAGCCAGAGCUGGGCAGUGGGACAGAGCACGUAGUAACUCGGCUGCUGCAGCCUCCCCUUCCCUGUGUAUGCAGCCACAAUCUUCCUCCCAGCACAUCAGCAGCACUUCAGAAAUGCAAGUCCUGUGCACAAGUGCCCUCAGAUCUGUGCUUGCUGCAGGCUUGCUGGGGUGUCCUCUGCCAAAUCGAAUCCCAUGCAGAAGGAAGCCCAGAGUCAGUUGGGGAAUACAGCAGUUAUGUUUGUCACGGUUCUGGUUUUUCUAACACACACAUACCUGACAGAAGCCACCAAAGGAGAGAGAAGUCUACUGUGGCUCAUAGUUCAGAAGAUUAUCCAUGGUGGCAGGGAAAUCAUAUCAAAAGGCUGGAGGCUUCGUACAGCUGGAGCUUACAGGGUGGCCUGCUGCAUCUUCCAGGUCAGCAAGCAGUGAUACUGGGCAGGACCAAGCUCACACCCUAAAUUCAGCCUCCAUGGAACUAUGUCUGCCAAUGAGGCCCCAUCCAAACGACUCCACAGCCUCCAAACAUCACCAACAGCUGGGAGCCAAAUGCUGAAGCACAAGGGCCCAUGGGAGACAUUUUCACUCAAGCUGGGAUAGGACUAUUGACAAAAUAAUCUCAAAUAUGUGUUGAAACAACCUCUCUCCCUUCGGUAAUAAUUUCCAUCCUAAUUCAAAGCUGGAUUCACAAGACUGAGUGGUUUUAUGACCUCACUUCUUCUUAACUGAAGUCUUUGGAUGAACGCUCCAGAACUGUCCCUUUAAUGCACAGGGAAGGUUUGCAGCAUCGUGCUCUCCCGUCUUUCCUUCUGCACCCAAACAGCAGUACCCCACGCCCUCCUUAUGUUAUUGCCGUAAAAAUUACCUUAAUUUUAGCCACUUCAAAAACAAUAACAAAACACAAAACAAAACAUUUUUUUAUCCUCUGCAGGUUCAGAGGGCUUGACUGGGCACUGUAUUGAUAUCAGCAGGCUAACUUCAGACUACCAGAGAGAACUCUUGUCUGGAAUCUCUGAGGGGGAAUCUGUUUUAGGCUCUGUGCUGGCUAGUUUUAUGUCAGCUUGACACAAGCUUAUAGCCAUCUGAGAGGUGGGAACUUCAGUUGAGCCUCCAUAAAAUUGGGCCAUAGUCAUGCUUGUAGAGCGUUUUCUUAAUUAGUGAUUGAUGUGGGAGGGCCCAGCCCAUUGUGGGUGGGGCAUCCCUGCGUUCUAUAAGAGAGCAGGCUGAGUAAGCCAUGAGCAUCA